GACGAACGCUGGCGGCGUGCUUAACACAUGCAAGUCGAACGGUAAGGCCCUUCGGGGUACACGAGUGGCGAACGGGUGAGUAACACGUGGGUGAUCUGCCCUGCACUUCGGGAUAAGCCUGGGAAACUGGGUCUAAUACCGGAUAGGACUCCGGACUGCAUGGUCUGGGGUGGAAAGCUUUUGCGGUGUGGGAUGGGCCCGCGGACUAUCAGCUUGUUGGUGGGGUGAUGGCCUACCAAGGCGACGACGGGUAGCCGGCCUGAGAGGGUGACCGGCCACACUGGGACUGAGAUACGGCCCAGACUCCUACGGGAGGCAGCAGUGGGGAAUAUUGCACAAUGGGCGCAAGCCUGAUGCAGCGACGCCGCGUGAGGGAUGACGGCCCUCGGGUUGUAAACCUCUUUCAGCACAGACGAAGCGCAAGUGACGGUAUGUGCAGAAGAAGGACCGGCCAACUACGUGCCAGCCGCCGCGGUAACAC
rnacentral:rRNA from 1 species